rnacentral:tRNA from 1 species
GGGGGGUAAGGGACUGGUGUCCUACCUGGUCUGCAAAACCAGAUAUAGGAGGCCAAAACUUCCUAUGUGGGUUCGAUUCCCACUACCCCUCUCCA